rnacentral:misc_RNA from 1 species
AAAGUCGUAACAAGGUUUCCGUAGGUGAACCUGCGGAAGGAUCAUUAUGAAUUUGGACGAGUUUCUUAAUUGAAGCUCUUCAUUUUCUGUGAACUGUGUUGAAGUAUUCUUACUUUAACUCUUUUUGUUUCUUUUGUUUUAUUCCACUCUUGUUUGAUUUAAUCGUUUGAUUAAUGAAAGACAAUUAAACCAAGACAACUUUCAGCAAUGGAUCUCUUGGCUCUU